rnacentral:rRNA from 1 species
AAACUUUCAACAACGGAUCUCUUGGUUCUCGCAACGAUGAAGAACGCAGCGAAAUGCGAUACGUAAUGUGAAUUGCAGGUUUUCGUGAAUCAUCGAAUCUUUGAACGCAUAUUGCGCUCUCUGGUAUUCCAGAGAGCAUGCCUGUUUGAGCGUCAUUU